GGCUGGCCCGAGUGCAGUGGUGUUUACAGCGAAUUGAUCACAACCAGUUACAGAUUCCUGUGUCUUUCUCUGCUCCCACUGCUUCACCUGACUAGCCUAAA
ensembl:misc_RNA Y_RNA Y RNA